UACGUAGGGUGCGAGCGUUGUCCGGAAUUAUUGGGCGUAAAGGGCUCGUAGGCGGUUUGUCGCGUCGGGAGUGAAAUCCACUGGCUUAACUGGUGGCUUGCUUUCGAUACGGGCAGACUGGAGGUAUGCAGGGGAGAACGGAAUUCCUGGUGUAGCGGUGAAAUGCGCAGAUAUCAGGAGGAACACUAAUGGCGAAGGCAGCACUCUGGGACGUGACUGACGCUGAGACGCGAAAGCGUGGGGAGCAAACAGG
rnacentral:rRNA from 1 species